AUUUACAGCUGCUGUAAACGUGUCAACGUGUUUGGAGUGAAGCGUAAGAAAUGUGAGUUUUACAGCUGGGGAGAACUAAAGUCACUAGUAUCGAGGAAGAAGCCUGCAGCAAUAGCUAGAGCACAACAGCCUGUUGCUGGAACUCAGACUGGUAUAGAUGCAAAACCUGCAGAAGGAACCGCCACCGCGCUCAGCCUGCUACAAGAAUAUGAAAGCAGCGACUCUGACUAGUCCUGUCAUGGUGAAGGAAACUUCUAGUUAGACCAUUACAGUUGUGGCCACAUGUUUUUAGAUUAAAGCAAAAAUAUAUU